UGGGUUGACAGUGAAGGGUGAGGAACAGCCUUGACAUUGAAAAACCGCAGGCUAUUAGCUCUAAACUUCUGCCUGGUAUAAUGGAAGGAACAUCGGUCUUGGAUUUAGACGAGGGCUUUAAUUUCAAGGAGCUCACAUUCAAAUGGAGCAGAAAGGCACUGAACCCAGAAACAAAUAAUUCUCUAGGAUGGUGGCUGGAAGUGCAUUUGCUAAAGAACCUCACUUCUACCGAUCUCAUUUUCCACGCACUUACAAACGGACCAGAGGUUGCAAAAGUGAGUCUCUCCUCGCUUCUACCGAUCUCAUUUUCCACGCACUUACAAACGGACCAGUGGUUGCAAAAGUGAGUCUCUCCUCGCUGAACUGCUCUGUUGUUUCCAGUUUCUGAGGGGCCAUCUCGGGCAAGGCUUGGAUGGGGCAGGGCCUUCUCUAGGUCUUGGGACCGCCCCUCAUUGCAGGAGACAAAACUUCCCACAUCCCACAUCCAGGCUUCUCUGAUGUCCCCUCCCCCGCACCCAACCCGCACCCAUCUUCCCUGUUUCAACCCUCCAACUCCCCUCUCCCCAGCAUCUCCAGGGGUCUGCGUUCUCCUUCCCAGCCCUGGGAGCUUUAUUUCAAGCUGAGAUACAAUGACACAUCAUGUUCCUUUUCUCUUUCCUUCUUCUUUUUAAUAAAGC
rnacentral:lncRNA from 10 species